ACCAGACUCCUACGGGAGGCAGCAGUGGGGGAUAUUGCACAAUGGGGGGAACCCUGAUGCAGCGACGCCGCGUGGGUGAAGAAGCGCCUCGGCGCGUAAAGCCCUGUCAGCAGGGAAGAAAAUGACGGUACCUGAAGAAGAAGCCCCGGCUAACUACGUGCCAGCAGCCGCGGUAAUACGUAGGGGGCAAGCGUUAUCCGGAUUUACUGGGUGUAAAGGGGGCGCAGACGGCGAUGCAAGCCAGGAGUGAAAGCCCGGGGCCCAACCCCGGGACUGCUCUUGGAACUGCGUGGCUGGAGUGCAGGAGGGGCAGGCGGAAUUCCUGGUGUAGCGGUGAAAUGCGUAGAUAUCAGGAGGAACACCGGUGGCGAAGGCGGCCUGCUGGACUGCAACUGACGUUGAGGCCCGAAAGCGUGGGGAGCAAACAGGAUUAGAUACCCCUGUAAC
rnacentral:rRNA from 1 species